CCUCGUGAGAAGAAGAGCUUCGGAAGAAAGGUUAUUAAUUUCCAAGAAAUUUUCAAGAAAUUCGAAACCAAAUGGCCAGAGUGCGCUCUACUGCUAGAGUUGAGCGCGAAGGAGACGAAGCCGAAGCUAUGGAAAUUGUUCCUAUCUCGGAAGCAAUGAAGCGAUCUGGGUUGAUGACAUCGGAAGACAUCCCUACUGCUGAAGCAGAACAAGCAGAUAUUGAAGAGACUGAUUCUGAAGGUGAUCACAGUAUCGCAGUACCGAGCAAGCCCAGCCACCUGGACUUCGGAAAGUCAACCGUCUCCAAGGCUGAUUUUCCUAAUAUGGUGAAGUCGGGCUACUUUAGCGAAGAAGAGAAAAAGCUGAUUUGCUUCGGUGGAGAAGAAACUACCCCGAAGCCACAGAAAGAUGAAAUAAUGAUUUUCAAGAGUUUCCUCAAAGCUGGUUUGAGAUUUUCUUUGAAUAGGAUGAUUGCUGAUGUGCUAAAGAAAUUUGGGAUCUACCUUCAUCAACUAACUCCUAACGCUAUUGUUAGGCUUAGUAUUUAUAUUUGGGCUCUCCGAAGCCAGGGGUGGAACCGUUUGCCGAAGGUUUCUGCCGAGUACACGAGCUACAUUACCAAACCAAGGCCAGACAGGAUGGGUUACAUGAAAAUUUUGGUUGUUAUAAUUUUGCCUAUCGGAAAAGUACAAAAUUUCCUGUGAUCAGCUACCGAAGCAAGUGGCCGGCAGGCUGGAAAUCGGAAUGGUUCUAUGUGAAAGUUGAUGAUGACAAGGAGAAGCUGGUACAGAGUCCGCUUGAACUGAUCUUCGGAGAGACCAGACCCCAAUGUAGUAUGACACCAGAAGGUCCAACCCAAACGGCGUUGGCCGAAUUCAGGAUUAUUGCAGAGCACAUUGGCACUAGAGAUCUAGUGCAGGAAUUUAUGGCGUUCAAAAUAUUUCCAACUAUGAAGGAAUGGGCUAUGCCGAAGCUCGAAAGAGAGAAGAAGGAGGGGGAGCUUGUCCGCCUGCCCUACCACUAUAAGUUCAAGAAAUAUUUUAAAGCACCCUGCCAAGAAUGGCUCGAAACAAUCGAAGUAAUGAGUACUGAAAUUCUUGGGAAUUAUUCUAAAAAAGAGGAUCAAUUGAUGACAGCAGCCUUCGGCACCCGGCCGAAACGAAGGCUAAACAGAGUGCUUGAUGCUAUAGGCUUUGAAUACCCUGACUACGAGCGGCUAGACAAGGGUGCCGAAGGGCAGAAAAGGAAAAGAGUAGCUAGCACUUUGAUUAAAGACGACGAAGAUCAACCAAAAAAGAAGAAAGAAAAGUUUGAACCGAAGGUAGUUGCUCCAAGAAAAAGAAAAGCUGCAUCUCCAAAACCUGUAUCUCCAGAACUAAAGAGAUUGGUCCGAGAUGAGGAAAUUCCUGCGACACCUUCUGCUGCUGAAGUAGAAGAAAUUCUGAAGGUAAUGACUGAAUCUUUGCCUGUCAAGCUAAGUCCGCUGGCGCCGGAACUGACGAAGUUUUUUCAGAAGGACAAAGAAGCUUCGGCAGCAGAAAGCCCUGCGAAGCCGAAAAAACGGAGAAUCAUUCAAGUGACAGAUGUGAUUCAUCAGAUGCCGCCACCGGUAUCGGCGUCAAAAAUUGCUAUUGUUGAGACCGCCGAAGCCGAAGCCGCCGCAGCCGAAGCUACCGGGGCCGAAACCACUGAAAUUGCAAUCGCCGGAGCCGAAGCCACCGGAGCCGAAGCUGCCAGAACCGAAGCUACCGGAGCUGAAGCUACCGGAGCCGAAGCCGAGACCACCGAAGAUUCGAACCUGGAAACCACACUUGAAGUUAUUGACAAUAUACUUCUGAAAAUGGCUGAAGAAGAAGCUGAUGUGGCUGCGGUGAACACGGCUACUGAAAAGGGAAAAGAGCAGGUUGAAGACAUUUUGGAGGAAGGAAUUAACAGGUGCUAAAAAAGAAGAGCUGAAAAAAUAUGCUAUAUCCUGUGGAUAUAAAACAGGGUCUAUGCUAUUUGGUGGGGUCAACGAAGGGAAGCUAAGGUGCCUUCGGAAUCGCACCGAGGCCAAAGUUGUUAGGACCUUCCCCAAAAGCGUUGGCCUGCCGAAGAUAGAAGCGGACCUUUGUAGAUACCAGCGACAACAUAUCGCCGGUAGCCUGCUCUAUGCUAAUUUUAAGGUGAAAAUAUUAUUAUUAUUUUAUUAUUAUUAUUGUUUUUAUGUUGUUUUCUGACGAAGGUUGUUUUGGCAGAGUAUACUAUUAAGUAAAGUGCUUAGAAUGCAACAAGAUCUUGAAGAGGAGAAGAACAAAGCUAUCAUCAAAGAUUUAGAAGAAAAAGUUGAAAAUUACGAAGCUGUUCUGAAGAAGGACUUCACCAUUCAAGAUCUUGAAAUCAUAGCUAAAGAACACGAAGGUGCCCUAGAAAAGAAAGACUUUGUUAUUCAGUCUAUGGAAGGCUCCUUGGCUGAGGUCCAAGCCGAAAAUGAUAGUUUAAAGAAUGAAUUACUCGAAAAGUCAGAAAAAUUUGAGCAAGAAAAGAAGAACCUUGAAACAAGUCUCAAGACUGAGAUUGAGAAAAAUUCAAAUUUGCAAAAAUCAUUGAAGGAACUUCAAGAGAAAUGCCUAAAUUUCGGCAGCCGAUGCGUGCAGCAGCUGAAGGAUGUGUUUCACUCUAUCGGAGCCAGUUCUGAAAAAUUUUCACCUUCAGCCGAAAACCUACCCAGCACCUUGGAACAUAUUGAAGGUGAGGUUGAUGCUCUUGACGAAGUUAUUGGUGGGCAUGCCGACUUCUGCGCCCUGGUAGCUUCUCGAGGCACAGCUACUGCUUUUCUGAAGGCUGGCUGUACGCACGGAAAGAUUGUGAAUAGGCCAAACUUCUGCUUGUCAGCAGCAGAUUUGAUUGAUAUCCCAAGCUUAGCCCGAAGCAUCGGAAAUAGAUUUAUGACCCAAAUUUGGGUAAAUGUCGGGCGAAAAAUGGCUGGUGACGAAGCUCAAAGCCACCUUAAGCCAGUGAGAAACUUAUAUUUGUUACUUUUACCUUCUCCUUGAAAUUUGCACCUUUCUUAUUCUGUUCUUUAAUAUGUGCAGGAUGACGAAGCUGAAGUAUGACGAAGCUGAAGUAUGACGGCCUGAAGCUUAAUAGUUGUUAUAAUAGACUUUCCUGCAAAAAAUUCUGGAGAGAUCCUUGUAAUAUAAUUUAUGGAAAAAACUUAUGUAAAUUUGUACAUACCUUGUAAUAUAUCUUGUCUCCUUUAUCCGUGUACAAUCUGCUUUGUUGUGAACGAAACUACACUUUUGAGCCGAAGGCGAAAAACUCCUUCCCUUCUUUUCGUACACAACGAAGCAUGAAAAUUUUCCUCUUUCUUCAAAGUUUUUCCUCCUUGCUGAAGCAUCUAUCUUUUUUGUGUGGUAUGAUGAUGAUGAUUCUAUAUAUGUCUAAAUGAAUGUUUAUGAAUGCAAAUGACAUGAUGUAAUGUAUCGUGCAAAUGAAUAUCGGAACACAUUCAAAAACCAUAAUCAUAGCCUUUCAUCCCCUUGGGAGCGAUUCAAAUCUUUUUGCCGUUUACUUUUCGGCUCCACCGUUUACUUUUCGGUGUAUCAGCGCUGACUUUUCGCUGUAAGACUCCCUUAGGAGCUUCUUCGCCUUUUACUUUCAGCGGAAUCAGUGUUAAUUUUUCGCUGUAAGCCUCCCUUAGGAGCUUCUUCGCCUUUUACUUUCAGCGGAAUCAGCGUUUAUUUUUCACUGUAAGCUCUGCAUUCCCUUAGGAACGACUUUUGAGCUUCUCCCUGUUUUCUUUUCUUUUUCCUUUGCAUUUACAUUUACAUUUUUUGGGGGAUAUCACUCUUAUAGAAUUGAAAUAAGGAAAAGAAAAAUUACAUGUUGUGGCCCCAUUAAAAACCUUUCUCCCCC
rnacentral:lncRNA from 1 species